rnacentral:rRNA from 1 species
CCUACGGGGGGCUGCAGUGGGGAAUAUUGGACAAUGGGGGGAACCCUGAUCCAGCCAUGCCGCGUGUGUGAAGAAGGCCCUCGGGUUGUAAAGCACUUUCAGUGAGGAAGAACGCCUGGUGGUUAAUACCCAUCAGGAAAGACAUCACUCACAGAAGAAGCACCGGCUAACUCCGUGCCAGCAGCCGCGGUAAUACGGAGGGUGCGAGCGUUAAUCGGAAUUACUGGGCGUAAAGCGCGCGUAGGUGGCUUGAUAAGCCGGCUGUGAAAGCCCCGGGCUCAACCUGGGAACGGCAUCCGGAACUGUCAAGCUAGAGUGCAGGAGAGGAAGGUAGAAUUCCCGGUGUAGCGGUGAAAUGCGUAGAGAUCGGGAGGAAUACCAGUGGCGAAGGCGGCCUUCUGGACUGACACUGACACUGAGGUGCGAAAGCGUGGGUAGCAAACAGGAUUAGAUACCCGGGUAGUC